UUCCGUAGGUGAACCUGCGGAAGAUCAUUAAUAAAUUUUUUAGGUUGAAAUUUGAAACCUAAAAUAUAAUAAUCCUACCCUUUGUGAAUUUGUCGUUUGAAAUAAUUUUUAAAAAAAUUAUUUAUAGUUUGUCUAUCCUGAGUUGUAAGAGAAGUAAAAUUCUUGAAAGCUUAGGAAUAGCUUUAUCUAUAAAUAAUGAUUUUAAAGACCUUUUUUAAAUUAAACUUUUGUAUUCAUUUGUCUAAAUUUAUUUUUAAUAAUUUAAAAACAACUUUUGACAAUGGAUCUCUUGGUUCUCGCAACGAUGAAGAACGCAGCAAAAUGCGAUAAGUAAUGUGAAUUGCAGAUACGUGAAUCAUCAAAUCUUCGAACGCAUAUUGCACUUUUUUAGUUUACUAAAAAGUAUGUCUGUUUGAGUAUCAGUAAAUAUUCUCAUAAAAAUUUAUUUUUUAUGGUUUUGAGUGUUUUACAACGAUACAAGUUGUUCACUUUAAAUUGACUUUAAAUUGCCUAUUAAUUAGUCAAUUUUUAAAAUUGCAUAAAAUUUUCCCGUAAAAGGAAUAACCUAUCAAUUUAAAAUUAACUGAUAUUAAAAGGCUUGAUAAAAGGAAAUUUAAUUAAAUAACUUGAUCUCAAAUCAGAUAAGAGUACCCGCUGAACUUAAGCAUAUCAAUAAGCGGAGGAAAAGAAACUAACAAGGAUUCCCUAGUAACGGCGAGUGAGCGGAAGAGCUCAAUUUGAAAUCUUCAAGGUUUGACCUUGACGAAUUGUAGUUUAAAGAAGUGUUUCGGUUAGAGGAGUGGUAAAAGUUCUUGGAAUAGGACAUCAUAGAGGGUGAGAAUCCCGUAUUUGACCAUUCUUUCUAGCUUGUGAUACACUUUCAAGAGUCGGAUUGUUGGAAUGCAGUCCAAAAUGGUGGUAAAUUUCAUCUAAAGCUAAAUAUUGGCGAGAGACGAUAGCGAACAAGUACCGUGAGGGAAAGAUGAAAGAACUUUGAAAAGAGAGUUAAACAGUACGUGAAAUUGUCAAAAGGAAGCGUUGACACCAGUGUUGUUUUCCGAAAAUCAAUUAAAAUGGAUUCAUGCAAGUGUAUUGCCUAUCAGCUUGCAAUUGUUUUGGUUUUUUUGAUGCACUUUUCGGUUAACAAGUCAACAUCAAUUUCCUUUGCUGUAAAAGGCAGAGGAAGGUGCUUCAAUUUCGGUUGAAGUGUUUAUAGCCUUUGUCUCUGCAGUCGGGAGAUUGAGGUCUGCAGGUAGAUCCUUCGGUUAGAUACAUUCGUGCUAAGUUAUAGCCUUUUAUAGACAACUUGUUGACUAUGAUCG
rnacentral:misc_RNA from 1 species